CAAUUUUUAAAAAAAUAUCCAAAUUCGGAGACCGUUAUCAAUCUGUGUCUAAUACGCUUUCGCGCAUGCUCAGUCGACGUACUGCCGGCGAAAUCCAAGUGAAAGUUAGAAGAAAGGAUAGAAAAUAGGACAGUUAGGCCUAUAAGGAUCCUGUAUUGUAUUAGUUACUGUCAGAGUAAAUGUACCAGACUUUCAGACUUCAGUUCGCUAAGCAAUCUACAACAAGUGUUUUUCCAUAUUCUUUCAAAAAUAUCAUAUUCACAAACAUUGAAUUUUUGGACAGAUGGUGUCGUAUACACAACUUAUAGCCAUGGUUAUAGACAUUAUUGGUUGUGGUCAACUACAAAAGCAAGAAUAAGUUCUGAGUUGACUGAUUAUGUCAAUCUCAGUAGGUCUACUGAAUGCAUAAUGCUUAAUAGGAAUUCCCUCGCAAACACUGACUUUUUGUCGGAGGCAAAUUGCCAAACAAAGUUAACUCCAGUAUGUAAAUUGUAAUAAAUUUAAGAAACACUUACUUUUCGAAAUUACUUUAAUAGUCUUAGAUAGGGGGCAAAGGUACCAAAUAGUCAAUCAAAAUUCACAAGAAGAGGAACUGUCAAUACCAUAGAAAAAAAAAACAAAAAACGACAAAAGAUAAACAACAUGCUUCUGUUACAACAUAAAACAUAGAAAACUAAAU